GGCCAGCAGCCGCGGUAAUACGGAGGGUGCAAGCGUUGUUCGGAAUUACUGGGCGUAAAGCGCACGUAGGCGGAUUCUUAAGUCGAUUGUGAAAUCCCCGGGCUUAACCUGGGAUGUGCAGUCGAAACUGAGGGUCUUGAAUGCCAGAGAGGAUGGCGGAAUUCCUGGUGUAGAAGUGAAAUUCGUAGAUAUCAGGAGGAACACCGGAGCCGAAGGGGGCUAUCUGGCUGUGCAUUGACGCUGAGGUGCGAAAGCGCGGGGAGCAAACAGGAUUAGAUACCCUGGUAGUCCGCGCCAUAAACGAUGGAUACUAGGUGUUCGGAGAGUUAACCCUCUGAGUACCGAAGCUAACGCAUUAAGUAUCCCGCCUGGGGAGUACGGUCGCAAGGCUAAAACUUAAAGGAAUUGGCGGGGGA
rnacentral:rRNA from 1 species